GUCUUUUGAAAAAUGUUGUUUUUGCUGUAUUUAGGCCCCUCCACCAAGAAAUUUGUUUUGCAUGCACACGUAUGAAAAUUGCUAUUUUUAUCCAAUGCAAUCAUAGGUUUGAACGUUGUUUUCAGUUAAGACUUGUUUAUAUUUGAUGUGUUUUAUAUAUAUAAGAUGCCACUCUAUGUUCACGUGAGAAAACGGAUAGAGUAUUGUCAUACAUAUACUACUGUUUUAUGUAAUAUC
rnacentral:lncRNA from 1 species